rnacentral:rRNA from 1 species
AUGUCCCUGCCCCUGCCCCGUCCUCUCGUCUCUCGAUCUGAUCGAGGCCACGGCCCGGCGGGAAUGGCGGCCGAGUCGUCGGCGGCGGCCGGCAUGCGCAAGGCGCCCUCCAUGGAGUGGCGCUGGGUGUCCGCGGGGGAGGAGGAGGACGACGAGCUGGAGGGCCGCGGGGCGGGGGGCCCCGCGGCCGUCGGGGCGGCGGGCCGGGGCGGCAGCUUCGAGUCCGAGUCCGAGGACGACAACGUCGACUACGAGGACGAGGACGAGGAGCAGAGGGAGGCCCGGCAGCGCCUGAUCCGCACCGUGCCCACCGUCGACUGGUUCGACGUCGAGGGCAACGAGGUCUCCGGCGCGCAGCCGCUCGAGGACCCCGAGGAGUUUGAUUUUGGCAGGACAGUAUUUCUUGCUCUUCAGACUCUUGCUGUGGUUUUCGGAGAUAUUGGAAUAAGUCCACUGUAUACAUUUGAUGUCAUGUUCAACAAGUACCCUAUUCUUGAGGAGGAGGAUGUUCUGGGAGCACUCUCACUAGUUCUGUAUACUCUGAUUUUGAUGCCAUUGGUGAAGUAUGUCUUGGUUGUCCUUUGGGCUAAUGAUGAUGGUGAAGGUGGUAUAUUUGCCAUGUAUUCUUUAAUUUGUAGAAAUGCAAAAGUGAGUCUCAUUCCAAACCAAGUACAAGCUCAGCCUGAGAAGAGGAUGUCAAGUUUCCGUCUCAAGCUUCCCACAGAUGAGCUUGAGAGGUCCAUAAAAGUAAAGGAGAAACUUGAAUCUUCACUCAUGAUGAAGAAGUUACUUUUAGGCUUAGUACUAUUUGGGACUGCCAUGUUUAUAUCCAAUGGAGUUAUCACACCAGCAAUGUCAGUGCUGUCUGCUGUCAGCGGCUUGAAAGUUGGGAUACCAAAGGCCUCACAAGAUGUUGUGGUGAUGAUUUCAAUUGCACUUCUUGUUGUCCUGUAUAGUCUACAGAGAUAUGCCACUAGCAAAAUAGGAUUUAUAGUUGGCCCUUGUUUGCUGAUAUGGUUUUGCUGUCUUGGAGGAAUUGGCAUAUGCAAUCUCAGUAGAUAUGGAUCGGGAGCUUUUAAGGCGUUUAAUCCUCUAUACAUUUUUUAUUAUUUUGGGAGGAAUCCCUUUCAGGCCUGGCUCUCCCUUGCUGGUUGUCUUUUGUGUGCAACAGGAUCUGAGGCUAUCUUUUCAAAUCUUUGCCACUUUCCUGUACGAUUUGUUCAGUUUAUGUUUGUUCUUCUUGUUCUUCCUUGCCUUGUCUUGGCCUAUUUAGGACAAGCUGCUUUCCUCAUUGCAAACGAAAAGACACCUGAACAUAUCUUCUUUGCAUCUAUUCCAGGGAAUGUUUUCUGGCCUGUUUUCUUGCUUGCUAAUUUAGCUGCACUGAUUGCCAGUAGGACAAUGACGAUUGCUAUAUUCCAAUGCCUAAAGCAGUCCAUAUCACUUGGUUGCUUUCCUCGGCUCAAAAUUGUCCAUACAUCUCGAAAAUUUAUGGCUAAGAUAUACAUUCCAGUCGUAAAUUGGUUUCUGCUGGCUUCCUGUUUGGGCUUUAUUCUGCUCUUCCGAAGCACAUCUGAUGUCGGGAAUGCAUAUGCCAUAGCUGAACUUGGGGUGAUGAUAAUGGCCACGGUCUAUGUUACACUGAUAAUGCUUCUAAUAUGGGAAACCAAUAUUAUUAAGGUCGUGUCAUUCCUUAUCACAUUCCUAUCCUUGGAGCUGAUUUUCUUCUCAUCAGCUCUGAGUAGUGUUGGGGAUGGAGGUUGGGCACUGUUGGUCUUUGCAUCUGGUCUUGUCAUGAUUAUGUUCAUCUGGAACUACGGAACCAAACUGAAGUAUGACAGUGAACUCAAACAGAAGCUUUCAAAAGAUCUAAUGAGAAAACUGGGGCCCAACCUUGGCACAAUGAGAGCGCCUGGACUAGGCUUGGUGUACAGUGAGAUAGUGACAGGAGUUCCUGCAAUUUUUGGUCAUUUUCUGACCGCCCUCCCUGCUAUCCACUCAAUAAUCGUAUUCGUGUGCGUCAGGAAUGUGCCAGUGCCUGCGGUUCCCCAAAGUGAAAGGUUUCUUUUCCAGCGUGUUUGUACAAGGGGCUAUCACAUGUUUCGCUGUAUUGCCAGAUACGGAUACAAAGACAAGAAACAGGAGCACCAUAACACAUUUGAGCGCCUUCUGAUAGAAGGCCUUGAAAAGUUCAUACAGCGGGAGGCUGUAGAGUUGUCCCUACAGAGUGAAGAUGAUGUCGACUCCGAUGAGGAGCCUUCAACCCCUGGACAGAUAAUCACUGCGCCAAACGGCAGCCUCUACUCACUCGAUGCCCCUCUCCUGGUGGACUUUACACCUUCAGUAGACACGAUUCCUGAAACACCCAGUUGCUCAACGCCUCAAGAUCCCUCGUUGGAUUACACACAGAACCUUGAGCUGGAGCUCGCAUUCAUCAAGCAGGCGAAGGAAUCUGGAGCCGUGUAUCUCAUCGACAACCCCAUUGUCAAAGCCAGGAAGGACUCGUGGUUCUUCAAGAAGUUGAUCAUAAACUAUUUUUUCGCGUUCCUGAGGAACAACUGCCGCAGGGCGAUUGUGUCGAUGAGCAUCCCACACUCGAACCUGCUGCAGGUGCGCUUGACCUCUUAUGUCUGA